rnacentral:misc_RNA from 1 species
CGCGGCUGGCGCGCCUGGAGG